rnacentral:rRNA from 1 species
GACAGAGGGUGCAAACGUUGUUCGGAAUUACUGGGCGUAAAGCGCGUGUAGGUGGCGAGGCAAGUCGGGUGUGAAAGCCCUGGGCUCAACCCAGGAAGUGCACUCGAUACUGCCUAGCUAGAGUCCCGGAGAGGUUGGUGGAACUCUCGGUGUAGAGGUGAAAUUCGUAGAUAUCGAGAAGAACACCGGUGGCGAAGGCGGCCAACUGGACGGUGACUGACACUGAGACGCGAAAGCGUGGGGAGCGAACAGG